GCCCGGGAGAACCAGGUCAUCGGUCGGUUCCCGUGAAAACAAAAACAAUCGGCGGCGCCGCCGCGGACACCCGAACGCCGCGAGCGGGGGCCGGGGACGUGGGGCCGGGUGGGGCGAGUGAGAGGGAGCGGCGGCGACGCGCCGGGGGGCCGGGGCGCCAUGGGGCAGGCGGGCACUGGCUGCGCCGGGCUCCCCCGGCGCCGUGGCUAGCUCGCCCGCCGCCUCAGCCGCCCGCGCCGCCCGCCUGGGGGACGAGGAGCAGGACGCGGCCUCGGCGGGGCCCGGGCCGAACGGCUGCGGACACCCGGGCGCCGGGGAGCCGAGCGCCGCCGCCUCCGGCAUGGAUCAGUGCGUGACGGUGGAGCGAGAGCUGGAGAAGGUGCUGCACAAGUUCUCGGGCUACGGGCAGCUGUGCGAGCGCGGCCUGGAGGAGCUCAUCGACUACACGGGCGGCCUGAAGCACGAGAUCCUGCAGAGCCACGGCCAAGAUGCUGAAUUAUCAGGGACACUUUCACUUGUUUUGACACAGUGCUGUAAAAGAAUAAAGGAUACCGUUCAAAAAUUGGCCUCAGACCACAAAGACAUCCACAGCAGUGUUUCUCGUGUUGGAAAAGCCAUUGAUAAGAAUUUUGAUUCUGACAUCAGCAGUGUGGGAAUAGAUGGCUGCUGGCAAGCAGACAGCCAAAGGCUUCUAAAUGAGGUGAUGGUGGAACACUUCUUCCGACAAGGAAUGCUGGAUGUAGCUGAGGAGCUCUGCCAGGAAUCUGGUCUUUCUGUAGACCCAAGUCAGAAAGAACCAUUUGUGGAGUUAAAUCGAAUACUAGAAGCAUUAAAAGUCAGAGUUCUAAGACCUGCUCUGGAGUGGGCAGUAUCAAACCGAGAAAUGCUUAUAGCCCAAAACAUCUCCUUGGAAUUUAAGCUACACAGACUGUAUUUCAUUAGCUUGUUAAUGGGAGGAACUACAAAUCAGCGAGAGGCAUUACAGUAUGCUAAAAAUUUUCAGCCAUUUGCCCUAAAUCAUCAAAAAGAUAUUCAGGUUUUGAUGGGAAGCCUCGUGUAUCUGAGACAAGGGAUUGAGAACUCACCGUAUGUUCACCUGCUUGAUGCAAACCAGUGGGCUGAUAUCUGUGACAUCUUUACACGGGAUGCUUGUGCCCUCCUGGGGCUCUCUGUGGAGUCCCCUCUCAGUGUCAGUUUCUCAGCAGGUUGUGUGGCAUUGCCAGCUUUAAUUAACAUCAAAGCGGUGAUUGAACAGAGGCAGUGCACUGGAGUUUGGAACCAGAAAGAUGAAUUACCUAUUGAAGUGGACCUUGGUAAAAAGUGUUGGUAUCACUCUAUAUUUGCCUGUCCCAUUCUUCGUCAGCAAACAACAGAUAACAAGCCACCCAUGAAAUUGGUCUGUGGUCAUAUUAUAUCAAGAGAUGCCCUGAAUAAAAUGUUUAAUGGUAGCAAAUUAAAAUGUCCAUAUUGUCCAAUGGAACAAAGUCCAGGAGAUGCCAAACAGAUAUUUUUCUGAAGAAGUAACUUUAGUUUGCAAUUUGAAGAAAGCUGUGAUAGAUUCCAAAUUUGCUUUUUGAUGUUUCCCUCUGCUCCUCCUCCAAGAAGUCAGCACACCUGCAUUUGAGCUCUGCUUGUAGCCCCAGCAGGCUGCCUGUUUAAAAUUUCAUCAUUUAGCAGGCUGGUGUGAGAAGUCUUCCAUUAGAAUAGAGUGGAAAGGAGUACUAUUGUUUUUUUGCUUUUAUUGCCAAGAGGUGCUUGUUUUAAAAAGUUUGUUCAAUAAAAUGAAAUUCUGAAGUUA